AACGCACCUUGCACCCUUUGGCAUUCCGAAGGGUAUGCUCGUUUGAGUGUCAUUGUACUCUCACACUUCCAAUUCUUUGGAUUGGGAGCGGUGGACUUGGGCGCUGCUGCUUUACUGUGGCUCACCUCAAAUGCAUUAGUGCAACCCUUGGUUAGACAUAGUACGGCGUGAUAAGUGUCUUCGCUGGCGCCUCACUUAGAGGGUGGCUGAUCAGGGGCUCUGUGCUUCAAACCGUCUUUGGACAAUGGCUGACAACUUGACCUCAAAUCGAGUAGGACUACCCGCUGAACUUAA
rnacentral:misc_RNA from 1 species